UGCCGCGUGCAGGAAGACUGCCUUAUGGGUUGUAAACUGCUUUUAUACAGGAAGAAACAUCCCGACGUGUCGGGACUUGACGGUACUGUAAGAAUAAGGAUCGGCUAACUCCGUGCCAGCAGCCGCGGUAAUACGGAGGAUCCAAGCGUUAUCCGGAAUCAUUGGGUUUAAAGGGUCCGUAGGCGGGCUUGUAAGUCAGUGGUGAAAGUCUGUGGCUCAACCAUAGAAUUGCCAUUGAUACUGCUAGUCUUGAAUUAUUAUGAAGUGGUUAGAAUAUGUAGUGUAGCGGUGAAAUGCUUAGAUAUUACAUGGAAUACCAAUUGCGAAGGCAGAUCACUAAUAAUAUAUUGACGCUGAGGGACGAAAGCGUGGGUAGCGAACAGGAUUAGAUACCCUGGUAGUCCACGCCGUAAACGAUGGAUACUAGCUGUUGGGCUUCGGCUCAGUGGCUAAGCGAAAGUGAUAAGUAUCCCACCUGGGGAGUACGUUCGCAAGAAUGAAACUCAAAGGAAUUGACGGGGGCCCGCACAAGCGGUGGAGCAUGUGGUUUAAUUCGAUGAUACGCGAGGAACCUUACCAGGGCUUAAAUGUAGUUUGACCGAUUUGGAAACAGAUCUUUCG
rnacentral:rRNA from 1 species